GAUGAACGCUGGCGGCGUGCCUAAUACAUGCAAGUCGAGCGAACGGACGAGAAGCUUGCUUCUCUGAUGUUAGCGGCGGACGGGUGAGUAACACGUGGAUAACCUACCUAUAAGACUGGGAUAACUUCGGGAAACCGUAGCUAAUACCGGAUAAUAUUUUGAACCGCAUGGUUCAAAAGUGAAAGACGGUCUUGCUGUCACUUAUAGAUGCAUCCGCGCUGCAUUAGGUAGUUGGUAAGGUAACGGCUUACCAAGGCAACGAUGCAUAGCCGACCUGAGAGGGUGAUCGGCCACACUGGAACUGAGACACGGUCCAGACUCCUACGGGAGGCAGCAGUAGGGAAUCUUCCGCAAAGGGCGAAAGCCUGACGGAGCAACGCCGCGUGAGUGAUGAAGGUCUUCGGAUCGUAAAACUCUGUUAUUAGGGAAGAACAUAUGUGUAAGUAACUGUGCACAUCUUGACGGUACCUAAUCAGAAAGCCACGGCUAACUACGUG
rnacentral:rRNA from 1 species